AUGAGCUCAGUUGGUCAGAGCCUGGUGCUAAUAACACCAAGGUCAUGGGUUCAAUCCCCAUAU
rnacentral:tRNA from 1 species